AACGAACGCUGGCGGCAGGCCUAACACAUGCAAGUCGAACGCCGUAGCAAUACGGAGUGGCAGACGGGUGAGUAACGCGUGGGAACAUACCCCUCGGUUCGGAAUAACUCAGGGAAACUUGAGCUAAUACCGGAUACGUCCGAGGUUUUGAUCGACCUUGGAGAAAGAUUUAUCGCCGAAGGAUUGGCCCGCGUCUGAUUAGCUUGUUGGUGAGGUAAUGGCUCACCAAGGCGACGAUCAGUAGCUGGUCUGAGAGGAUGAUCGGCCACAUUGGGACUGAGACACGGCCCAAACUCCUACGGGAGGCAGCAGUGGGGAUAUUGGACAAUGGGCGAAGCCUGAUCCAGCCAUGCCGCGUGAGUGAUGAAGGCC
rnacentral:rRNA from 1 species